rnacentral:rRNA from 1 species
UACGAAGGGGGCUAGCGUUGCUCGGAAUCACUGGGCGUAAAGCGCACGUAGGCGGAUUGCUAAGUCAGGGGGUGAAAUCCUGGAGCUCAACUCCAGAACUGCCUUUGAUACUGGCGAUCUUGAGUCCGGGAGAGGUGAGUGGAACUGCGAGUGUAGAGGUGAAAUUUCGUAGAUAUUCGCAAGAACACCAGUGGCGAAGGCGGCUCACUGGCCCGGUACUGACGCUGAGGUGCGAAAAGCGUGGGGGAGCAAACAGGG